rnacentral:rRNA from 1 species
UACGUAGGGUGCAAGCGUUAAUCGGAAUUACUGGGCGUAAAGCGUGCGCAGGCGGCUUCUCAAGUCAGAUGUGAAAUCCCCGGGCUUAACCUGGGAACUGCGUUUGAAACUGGGAGGCUAGAGUGCGGCAGAGGGGGGUGGAAUUCCACGUGUAGCAGUGAAAUGCGUAGAUAUGUGGAGGAACACCGAUGGCGAAGGCAGCCCCCUGGGCCUGCACUGACGCUCAUGCACGAAAGCGUGGGGAGCAAACAGG